rnacentral:lncRNA from 1 species
GCUUUGUCUCUCUCUCCCUCCCCUUCACCUUCAAUGGUGCUGAUUGACCAAGCAAGACAGAGAUCUUGUGUCCUUGCCUGAGUUUGUGGGCGUUGCCUGAACUGUCAAUGCCUUAAUUCCUUUUACUGUUUAGUAUGUUUUUGUUAUGAAGUUUUAUUGUUUUCUUAGGAUGUCCUGUUUACCCUUUUCCUAAGUGAAUUAGAUAAAGAUUAUUACAGUAUUUAUAUUUCAUCUCAAAUCUUUAUUUUUCCAACAAAGGCUUGUAAGACAAAACACAUCUCUUUUGCAAAGAUCUUCAGAACCAGGGAAAAUGUCAGGAUGGUAGAAUUAAGUUCCCCUGCACCAGAGGAGAGACAGCCAGUGAGUCUUGAUAACUCUUACUGGCUCAGAGCUGAAGAUUCACCUGCUGGAGAUUCUUGUCUGAGUCAUACCCUCAUUGCUGCAUAUUUCCUGGUACACCUCCUGGAGCCCUCUUCUGUGAUACACCUGGAGGCUGCUAAACCAGUACACCUGAUGACAUGACCUUUUUGAUGCCUACCAAGACAAGAGCCUACUACUGCUUUGAGCUGGUGCAUAUGAGUGCAGCCCAAUUGUCAAACAUGAACAUAAUCAGCUAUGGAACAGAAGCCAGAGUGAGAAACCUUAUUGGUAAAUGCUCCUCCAAAUGUUGAAAAUCACAUUAAUGGAGCUUGUUAAUUCAACACAAGAUGCUUUGCAUUGACAAGAUUUUUAAAUGUUGACUAAAAGUAUUGAUGAAAAUCAUAGAUAUUAUUCCUAAUGAUCUUUCCACAGCAAGUGUAUAUGAGAAAAAUAAAACUUAGUUUCUUUUAUUAAAAGCCCUGUGG